GACGAACGCUGGCGGCGUGCUUAACACAUGCAAGUCGAACGGAAAGGCCCUGCUUUUGUGGGGUGCUCGAGUGGCGCCCGGGUGAGUAACACGUGCGUGACCUGCACUUAACUUUGGGAUAACUUCAGGAAACUGGGGCUAAUACCGGAUAGGAGCUCCUGCUGCAUGGUGGGGGUUGGAAAGUUUCGGCGGUUGGGGAUGGACUCGCGGCUUAUCAGCUGGUUGGUGGUGUAGUGGCUUACCAAGGAUUUGACGGGGAGCAGGCCUGAGAGGGUGACCGGCCCACUGGGGAGAGAGAUACGGCACAGAGUCCUACGGGAGACAGCAGUGGGGAAUAUUGCACGAUGGGCGGAAGCCGGAUGCAGCAACACUGCGUGAGGGAUUGUGGCCUUCGUGUAGUAAGCCGUUUUCGCAGGUGACUGAGCGUGAGUGACGGUAAUGUAUAAAUAAGCACCGGCUAACUACGUG
rnacentral:rRNA from 1 species